rnacentral:rRNA from 1 species
GGCGUGCCUUUUGCAUAAUGAGCCUACGAGUUACCGUUGCUAGCGAGGUUAAACACUUCAGGUGUGGAGCCGUAGCGAAAGCGAGUCUGAAUAGGGCGCUAUAGUUAGUAGUGGUAGACGCGAAACCGUGUGAUCUACCCAUGGGCAGGUUGAAGCUGUGGUAACACACAGUGGAGGACCGAACCGGUUGACGUUGAAAAGUCUUGGGAUGACCUGUGGGUAGGGGUGAAAGGCCAAUCAAACUCGGAAAUAGCUCGUACUCCCCGAAAUGCAUUUAGGUGCAGCGUAUUAAUAGUUUUAUAGAGGUAGAGCUACUGAUUGGAUGCGGGGGCUUCACCGCCUACCAAUUCCUGACAAACUCCGAAUGCUAUAAAAUGUUUUAAUGCAGUGAGGGCAUGGGUGCUAAGGUCCAUGUCCGAGAGGGAAAGAACCCGGACCAUCAGCUAAGGUCCCCAAAUAUAUACUAAGUUGAAUAAACGAGGUUUGACUGCCUAGACAGCUAGGAUGUUGGCUUGGAAGCAGCCAUUCAUUUAAAGAGUGCGUAACAGCUCACUAGUCGAGCGGUCGAGCAUGGAUAAUAAUCGGGCAUAAGUAUAUUACCGAAGCUAUGGACUCCAAUGGAGUGGUAGGGGAGCAUUCUAUUUGCGCAGAAUGUGGUCUGCGAGGACUGCUGGAGCGGAUAGAAAAGAAAAUGUAGGCAUAAGUAACGAUAAUGCGGGCGAGAAACCCGCACACCGAAAGACUAAGGUUUCCUCAGCUAUGCUAAUCAGCUGAGGGUUAGUCGGGACCUAACGCGAACCCGAACGGGGUAGUGGAUGGACAACGGGUUAAUAUUCCCGUACCUGCUCACACUAAAAGUGACGGAUCUCUGGAGUUGCUGCGUACUGACGGAAUAGUACGUUGAAGCAGUAAUGCGAUAGUACACUAAGGCUACGGCCGCGGUGAUAAUGUAGCGAAGGAGGUUCCAAGAAAAGCGAGUGAAGCAGCCUGUACCGUAAACCGACACAGGUGGUUGGGAUGAGAAUUCUAAGGUGCUCGAGAGAUUCAUGGCUAAGGAACUAGGCAAAAUCGACCUGUAACUUCGGGAGAAAGGUCGCCCAUCUUCGGAUGGGCCGCAGUGAAAAGGUCCAGGCGACUGUUUAUCAAAAACAUAGGGCUUUGCUAAAUCGAAAGAUGAUGUAUAAGGCCUGACACCUGCCCGGUGCUGGAAGGUUAAGAGGAGGGUUUAGCUUCGGCGAAGAUCUGAAUUGAAGCCCCAGUAAACGGCGGCCGUAACAAUAACGGUCCUAAGGUAGCGAAAU